rnacentral:rRNA from 1 species
CCUGGCAGUCAGAGGCGAUGAAGGGCGUGCUAAUCUGCGAUAAGCGCCGGUAAGGUGAUAUGAACCGUUAUAACCGGCGAUACCCGAAUGGGGAAACCCAGUGUGACUCGUCACACUAUCAUUAACUGAAUCCAUAGGUUAAUGAGGCGAACCGGGGGAACUGAAACAUCUAAGUACCCCGAGGAAAAGAAAUCAACCGAGAUUCCCCCAGUAGCGGCGAGCGAACGGGGAGGAGCCCAGAGCCUGAAUCAGCAUGUGUGUUAGUGGAAGCGUCUGGAAAGGCGCGCGAUACAGGGUGACAGCCCCGUACACAAAAGCGCAUGUGCUGUGAGCUCGAUGAGUAGGGCGGGACACGUGGUAUCCUGUCUGAAUAUGGGGGGACCAUCCUCCAAGGCUAAAUACUCCUGACUGACCGAUAGUGAACCAGUACCGUGAGGGAAAGGCGAAAAGAACCCCGGCGAGGGGAGUGAAAAAGAACCUGAAACCGUGUACGUACAAGCAGUGGGAGCCCCACCACCAAAGCAUUUGCUGUACCGCGUUGACGGAGCGAAGCGACGUCAAACCGAUAAAACAGCAGUGUAAAGUGAGCCGCAGGGCGCUUUGCGCGACAGCGCAAAGGCAGGCGGUUUCGCGUAGCGAAAGCGAAUGCUUUGGGGUGGGGUGACUGCGUACCUUUUGUAUAAUGGGUCAGCGACUUAUAUUCUGUAGCAAGGUUAACCGAAUAGGGGAGCCGGAGGGAAACCGAGUCUUAAUUGGGCGUUAAGUUGCAGGGUAUAGACCCGAAACCCGGUGAUCUAGCCAUGGGCAGGUUGAAGGUUGGGUAACACUAACUGGAGGACCGAACCGACUAAUGUUGAAAAAUUAGCGGAUGACCUGUGGCUGGGGGUGAAAGGCCAAUCAAACCGGGAGAUAGCUGGUUCUCCCCGAAAGCUAUUUAGGUAGCGCCUCGUGAAUUCAUCUCCGGGGGUAGAGCACUGUUUCGGCUAGGGGGCCAUCCCGGCUUACCAACCCGAUGCAAACUGCGAAUACCGGAGAAUGUUAUCACGGGAGACACACGGCGGGUGCUAACGUCCGUCGUGAAGAGGGAAACAACCCAGACCGCCAGCUAAGGUCCCAAAGUCAUGGUUAAGUGGGAAACGAUGUGGGAAGGCCCAGACAGCCAGGAUGUUGGCUUAGAAGCAGCCAUCAUUUAAAGAAAGCGUAAUAGCUCACUGGUCGAGUCGGCCUGCGCGGAAGAUGUAACGGGGCUAAACCAUGCACCGAAGCUGCGGCAGCGACACUGUGUGUUGUUGGGUA